rnacentral:rRNA from 1 species
GACGUAGGGUGCAAGCGUUGUCCGGAAUCAUUGGGCGUAAAGAGUUCGUAGGCGGUUUCUCAAGUCUGGUGUUAAAUACGGGAGCUCAACUCCCGCAUGGCAUUGGAAACUGGGUGACUAGAGUGUGGUAGAGGUUACGGGAAUUCCUGGUGUAGCGGUGAAAUGCGCAGAUAUCAGGAGGAACACCAAUUGCGAAGGCAGCUCGCUGGGACGUUACUGACGCUGAGACGCGAAAGCGUGGGGAGCAAACAGG